AGCGAACGCUGGCGGCAGGCCUAACACAUGCAAGUCGAACGAACCUUUCGGGUUUAGUUGCGGACGGGUGAGUAACACGUGGGAACGUUCCUUUAGGGGCGGAAUAACUCAGGGAAACUUGUGCUAAUACCGAAUGUGCCCUUCGGGGGAAAGAUUUAUCGCCUUUAGAGCGGACCGCGUCUGAUUCGCUAGUUGGUUGAGGUAAUGGGUCACCAAGGGGAAGUUCAUUAGUUGGGCUGGGGAGAUGGUCCGCCACCUUGGGACUGAGACCAGGCCCGAAUCUCCGCCGGAGGACGGAAGUGGGAAACUUUCACAAAGGGCGAAAGACUGACGGAGCCAGGGCGCGGUAAUGAUUGAGGGCAUAGGAUUGUAAAAUUCUUUCAACGGGGACGAUAAUGACGGUACCCGGAGAAGAAGCCCCGGCUAACUUCGUG
rnacentral:rRNA from 1 species